AUUGAACGCUGGCGGCAGGCCUAAUACAUGCAAGUCGAACGAGUGGCGGACGGGUGAGUAAUGUCUGGGAAACUGCUUGAUGGCGGGGGAAAACUACGGGAAACGGUAGCUAAUCCCGCAUACCAUCGGAUGUGCGCAGAUGGGAUGAGCUAGUAGGUGGGGUAAAGGCUCACCAAGGCGACGAUCCCUAGCUGGUAUGAGAGGAUGACCAGCCAAACUGGAACUGAGACACGGUCCAGACUCCUACGGGAGGCAGCAGUGGGGAAUAUUGCACAAUGGGCGCAAGCCUGAUGCAGCCAUGCCGCGUGUAUGAAGAAGGCCUUCGGGUUGUAAAAUACUUUCAGCAGGGAGGCGUUACCCGCAGAGGAAGCACCGGCUAACUCCGUGCCAGCAGCCGCGGUAAUUC
rnacentral:rRNA from 1 species